UAGGGAAUCUUCGGCAAUGGGGGCAACCCUGACCGAGCAACGCCGCGUGAGUGAAGAAGGUCUUCGGAUCGUAAAGCUCUGUUGUAAGAGAAGAACGUGUGUGAGAGUGGAAAGUUCACACAGUGACGGUAACUUACCAGAAAGGGACGGCUAACUACGUGCCAGCAGCCGCGGUAAUACGUAGGUCCCGAGCGUUGUCCGGAUUUAUUGGGCGUAAAGCGAGCGCAGGCGGUUUAAUAAGUCUGAAGUUAAAGGCAGUGGCUUAACCAUUGUUCGCUUUGGAAACUGUUAAACUUGAGUGCAGAAGGGGAGAGUGGAAUUCCAUGUGUAGCGGUGAAAUGCGUAGAUAUAUGGAGGAACACCGGUGGCGGAAGCGGCUCUCUGGUCUGUAACUGACGCUGAGGCUCGAAAGCGUGGGGAGCAAACAGG
rnacentral:rRNA from 1 species